rnacentral:rRNA from 1 species
AUACGGAGGGUCCAAGCGUUAUCCGGAAUCAUUGGGUUUAAAGGGUCCGUAGGCGGAUAAUUAAGUCAGAGGUGAAAUCCCACAGCUCAACUGUGGAACUGCCUUUGAUACUGGUUAUCUUGAAUUAUAGUGAAGUAGAUAGAAUAUGUAGUGUAGCGGUGAAAUGCAUAGAUAUUACAUAGAAUACCGAUUGCGAAGGCAGUCUACUAACUAUAUAUUGACGCUGAUGGACGAAAGCGUGGGGAGCGAACAGGAUUAGAAACCCUAGUAGUCC